rnacentral:rRNA from 1 species
AAAUGUCUCCAGGGGCUAAACAUCCUACUUCGAAGCUGGAGUGAACACGAUGCGGGCAGUAGGGGAGCGUUGUAUGCGGGUAGAAGCUGGACCGUGAGGACUGGUGGACUGCAUACAAGUGAGAAUGCCGGUAUGAGUAACGAAAAGAUCAGUGAGAAUCUGAUCCGCCGUAAGCCUAAGGGUUC